rnacentral:rRNA from 1 species
AUUGAACGCUGGCGGCAGGCCUAACACAUGCAAGUCGAACGAGUGGCGGACGGGUGAGUAAUGUCUGGGAAACUGCCCGAUGGAGGGGGAUAACUACUGGAAACGGUCGCUAAUACCGCAUACCAUCAGAUGUGCCCAGAUGGGAUUAGCUAGUUGGUGGGGUAACGGCUCACCAAGGCAACGAUCCGUAGCUGGUCUGAGAGGAUGACCAGCCAAACUGGAACUGAGACACGGUCCAGACUCCUACGGGAGGCAGCAGUUGGGAAUAUUGCACAAUGGGCGCAAGCCUGAUGCAGCCAUGCCGCGUGUAUGAAGAAGGCCUUCGGGUUGUAAAGUACUUUCAGCGAGGAGGCGUUACUCGCAGAAGAAGCACCGGCUAACUCCGUGCCAGCAGCCGCGGUAAUAC